rnacentral:sRNA from 1 species
AUCACAUUCUCCUCUCGAUGGUGACCAAAGAAGUGGAAAAUCGACAUACCUUCAGCUUUUCGAUCUCGGGAACGUCGUCACUCUUGCUGUACAGAUCGUACGGAUUGAAAGCCUUGACUGCCUCAAGCAUACGUUCAUCGUCAUCGUUCAUCAGGUGUCGAUAUGCGCCAGCUGCGUGCCAGGGGUAAAACGAAUGAUAGCGAAUCAUAGCCAGCGCCUCCUUUGGAAGGGUUGAUUGGGUUUUCACGACAUUGUACAGGUACUCAUCAUGGCCCCAGGAAAGCAUCACAUUAUCAAGGCCGCAGUUUGGGUAAUAUAUGCCGAAUUUGGUCCCAUAUAUUUGGUUCCCAAAGUCGGGGUUGUUUGCGAAUGUUUCAGGAUAGA